rnacentral:lncRNA from 1 species
GUUUUCCCUCCUUGUAAAUCUCACAUUUGAUGAUGGACCACAGGUUCUCAAUGGGGUUCAGAUCAGGUGAACAAGGAGGCCAUGUCAUUAGAUUUUCUUCUUUUCUACCCUUUCUUGCCAGCCACGCUGUGGAGUACUUGGACGCGUGUGAUGGAGCAUUGUCCUGCAUGAAAAUCAUGUUUUUCUUGAAGGAUGCAGACUUCUUCCUG